CCCUUAGAUGUUCUGGGCCGCACGCGCGCUACACUGAUGCGUUCAACAAGUUUCCUUGGCCGAGAGGCCUGGGCAAUCUUCUUAAUAUGUAUCGUGAUAGGGAUAGAUUAUUGCAAUUAUUAAUCUUGAACGAGGAAUUCCUAGUAAACGCAGAUCAUCAAUCUGCAUUGAUUACGUCCCUGCCCUUUGUACACACCGCCCGUCGCACCUACCGAUUGGAUGUUCCGGCGAAGCCUCGGGAUGAGGACUGGUGCCUUUAUUGGCAUGAGUUGUUCAGAACUUGUCUAAACCUUAUCAUCUAGAGGAAGGUGAAGUCGUAACA
rnacentral:rRNA from 1 species